rnacentral:rRNA from 1 species
CCCAAGGGUAUGGCUGUUCGCCAUUUAAAGUGGUACGCGAGCUGGGUUCAGAACGUCGUGAGACAGUUCGGUCCCUAUCUGCCGUGGGCGCUGGAGAUUUGAGAGGAGCUACGCCUAGUACGAGAGGACCGGCGUGGAGGUACCGCUGGUGGUCCGGUUGUUUCGCCAGAAGCAUAGCCGGGUAGCUACGUACCGACAGGAUAACCGCUGAAAGCAUCUAAGCGGGAAACCUCCCUCAAGAUAAGAUCUCCCGAGGAUUUAAUCCUCCUCAAGGUCCGUUGAAGACGACGACGUAGAUAGGUGGGGUGUGUAAGUACAGUAAUGUAUUGAGCUAACCCAUACUAAUUGACCGUGUGGCUUAAUUUGA